rnacentral:rRNA from 1 species
CCGUAGGUGAACCUGCGGAAGGAUCAUUACCGAGUGAGGGUCCCUCGGGGCCCAACCUCCCAUCCGUGUUGUCCUGACACCUGUUGCUUCGGCGGGCCCGCCGUGGUUCACGCCCCGGCCGCCGGGGGGUUCACGCCCCCGGGCCCGCGCCCGCCGAAGACCCCUGGAACGCUGCCUGGAAGGUUGCCGUCUGAGUAUACAAUCAAUCAAUUAAAACUUUCAACAACGGAUCUCUUGGUUCCGGCAUCGAUGAAGAACGCAGCGAAAUGCGAUAAGUAAUGUGAAUUGCAGAAUUCCGUGAAUCAUCGAAUCUUUGAACGCACAUUGCGCCCCCUGGCAUUCCGGGGGGCAUGCCUGUCCGAGCGUCAUUGCUAACCCUCCAGCCCGGCUGGUGUGUUGGGCCGCCGUCCCCCCUCCCCGGGGGACGGGCCCGAAAGGCAGCGGCGGCGUCGCGUCCGGUCCUCGAGCGUAUGGGGCUCUGUCACACGCUUCAGUAGAACCGGCCGGCUUGCUGGCCAUCACCUAUAUUUUUCUCUUAGGUUGACCUCGGAUCAGGUAGGGAUACCCGCUGAACUUAAGCAUAUCAAUAAGCGGAGGA